UUGGGAAAGCCCAGAAGAAAUCUGAAAGAGAAGUUGAACUGAAAAGUCGAUUUGAACAGAGUGUAAAAGAAGCCGCUGACAAGUAUCAAGGAGCAAACUUAUAUGUUAAGAAUUUAGAUGAUAGCAUCGAUGAUGACAAACUGAAGGAGUUAUUCACUGGUUUUGGAACCAUUACCUCAUGCAAGGUUGUAAGGACUAAAUAAGUUUUGUUGUCUUAGACUCUUAAAUGCUUCAGCAGGGUGUUAACUAAUGUUUUGAUCCUUUACAUGCCUCCAGGUUAUGCGUGACCCCAAUGGAAUCAGUAGAGGAUCUGGCUUUGUUGCAUUCUCUUCUCCUGAAGAGGCUGCAAGAGCUGUGAGUUACAUUAUUGCUCCCAAGACCAUUAUUUAAAUUUUAUUUAUUUAUUGUUGACUGUCGUAUUACAGUUAAUUGUUGUCCAUGGAACUCUUCUUAUCUGUUUCUGUAAUCUGAUAGCUUGCUGAGAUGAAUGGAAGAAUGAUUGUGAGCAAACCUCUUUAUGUUGCACUUGCACAGAGGAAGGAAGAUAGAAGAGCUAGGUUGCAAGUAUGUCUGUACUGAUUAUUAUGUUGCAAUUGUGGAUGGAGUUGUUCUUUCCCGUUUGUUUUCCAUCCUUGUAUUUAUCUAUCCAUUUCCUUUUUUUUUUUGACAUUGUCCGUAUUUUAUCUGUGUGAAUCACAGGCACAGUUUUCCCAAAUGCAGCCAAUGGCAAUGGCAUCUUCAGUUGCUCCUCGUGGCAUGCCUAUGUAUCCUCCAGGUGGUCCAGGUAUCGGACAACAAAUAUUCUAUGGACAAGCUCCACCGACUAUUAUUUCCUCACAGGUAACUUCUCUCUCCGAAAGGGAAAACGAACACCUAGACCAAUGUGGUUUGCAUAUAAAAUGAUUAUUUUUUCUUUAUAUUUGUUCAAUUGAAGAAGUCAAAUUGUGACUGCAUUCAAAUCAUUCUGUGAAUUCUUUCAGCCUGGCUUUGGUUAUCAGCAGCAACUCAUGCCUGGAAUGAGGCCUGGUGGAGGUCCCAUGCCAAAUUUCUUUGUGCCAAUGGUUCAGCAGGGUCAGCAAGGGCAAAGAUCGGGUGGCAGACGUGCUGGUGCCAUUCAGCAAACCCAGCAGCCUGUACCUUUGAUGCAGCAGCAGGUUGGUAUUGCUUUUUCUGCCUUAUUUUUUCCUCUCUGACCAUGAUUGGCCCGUUCUAAUCAAGACACUAAUGCAUAUAUUUUUAACCUGAAAGAUGCUACCUAGAGGACGCGUCUACCGUUAUCCUCCUGGACGUGGACUGCCUGAUCUUCCCAUGCCUGGUGUUGCUGGAGGAAUGUUCUCUGUUCCAUAUGAGAUGGGUGGAAUGCCACCACGUGAUGCUGUUCACCCUCAACCAGUUCCUGUGGGUGCUUUGGCUUCUGCUCUUGCAAAUGCUACUCCAGACCAGCAGAGAACGGUAGGUUCUAAAAUCAAAUCUGUCAUCAAGCAUUUUGCUCUCUGUUCCACGUGAUGCUGUUCACCCUCAAAGGAGGAAUGUUCUCUGUUCCAUAUGAGAACGGUAGCUUGUCUUUCUGUUUGUGUUCUAUUAUACAAUCAUGACUGCCUGUUUUGUUGUUCUUCAGAUGCUGGGGGAGAACCUUUAUCCACUUGUUGAACAGCUAGAGCCUGAUAAUGCCGCCAAGGUAACAGGAAUGCUAUUGGAAAUGGACCAAACUGAGGUUCUACAUUUGCUUGAGUCGCCCGAAGCUCUGAAAGCUAAGGUGGCGGAAGCAAUGGAGGUUUUAAGAAGUGUCGCUCAGCAGUCUGGCAAUGCAGCUGAUCAAUUGGCUUCACUAUCCUUGACUGACAAUCUUGAUUCCUAAUCUGAAUGUUGCAAACCCCUUCUGUUUUUUCAUGAGCCGCAAACCUUUUUACUUGGUGCUUUUUAUUGACUUUGAGAUGGGAAGUUCAACUAUUUUUGUUCGGACCGAGUGAUUUUUAUUACUGGCAAUGAUUGUGGGAACCUAUGCUUAAGUUUUGUUGUGACGCGUUUUACUUUUCAUUACAAAUGCGCUUUGGAAGUUAACUCUUAUGAGUUUUGGUUUAAAUGAAAUUGAAUGUUUGAUUUAUUUUAUCUUUUUAGUUUUAAUGUAUAUUUAGGAAAACAAAGGUUCACUUCUUGGUUAAAACUUAAAACUUUUGUUAGAUUAUUUCAAGCGUUCAGGCUUGGUAUAUGAUUUUGGGUAUUAAAUUUGAGUUGAUAUAUGUCUACAUUUUCACCAUCUUGCAAGAGAAUCUGUG
rnacentral:lncRNA from 1 species